UGGUGAAGCGCCGGGGCUGCUAAUGCUCCCUCCCCUCUUCCUCUUUGGCUCUCUCUCUCUCUUUUUCCAGACACCUUAAGGAAUUCAACAACCCCUCCCCUGCACACAGGCUUCUUCCAGCCAGAUGCCAUGUUGCAAGAUUUCCUCUGGAGAGGGCCUCUUGGCAAGGAACUGAUGUCUCUGGCCAGCAGCCAGCGAGGACCUAAGAUCUGUCAACAGCCAUGCUUAUGGCUGGUCUAGCAGAGCCAGGUGCCAGGCCUGGCGGGAGCAUCCUUGUCUCUUAACUGACAGUGCCUCCACCUGGCCUUGCAGCUCCACUCGACAAAUACUAAAUAACAGGCUCUGGCAUCUCCUGAAGCUCUGCACUCAUUAACACACUGGGAGGCAGAAGGGACAAUGAAUUGUGACUCGGAAAUUAAUCAGAUGAGACCUGAUGACUGAAGUACAUCACAGAGCUAGGAAGAGAGAUUACUAAGCAACACGGUGAGAGCUCCAUCCUCUGGGUAUUCAGCCAACUACAGAUCACUCAAAGGCAGACAUUCUGGGAUCUUCCAUCCAUCAAGCUGAACCAGAGUACAAGGCCAAAACCAGUGAAUGACAAAGCAACCCCAUGCCCAGCUUAAGAGUUUCCUCAGAGAGUUUGUCUUGUAGGAGUCAUUAGACACUAAUUUGAUUCUAUUUGCAUGUGCACACCCUGCCCUUUGCCAAACAGGGAGAGAAUCACACUUGAGAGCUAGCGCUCAGCUCAGUCUCUUCUCCACACCACGCUAGUGCACCAAGAACAAGGUUAUAGGUGUGGCAAAAAAACAAACCCUGCCAAUGCUCUAAGUAUAUGUUUGAUGUAAUCUUAUUUCUCAUAAAAUUAAGAGGAUAAUAUUUUUAGGUGAUGCAGAGUAUGAGACUGUCAUUAGGUUACUCUGAAUCUCUUUCUCUCUCUCUCUUCAUGGUAAAAAUUAAGUUCCAUUAGGAAAAUUCUUCCUCCCCUUCCUUCCUCCCAUUGGUCUUUCCUCCUAAGAUCCAGGUAGCUCUGAGAAAGUUUGUUUCAUCUAUGCGUUGGCCUGGGAAUCCUCCUCUUGUUAAUCUACACAAAUAAAAUCAUCUUAAAGAUCGAAAGCUUUUGUACAAAAAUGUCCUUCAUAGUGUUUUCUAUAUUAGCAAAAUGUUGUACAAAUAAUACAUAAUCUAACAUCUUAAAAAAGGGGAAAUGAUUAAAUAAAUUAUAGCACAAAAAUUCUGUGAGAUAUAUAGGCGAUGAUUAGAUGACAAUGUCAGGUCAGUUCAAUAAAUACAUGUUCAUUAGUUCCCAUAUGCCAGGCACUGAAA
rnacentral:lncRNA from 1 species